GACGAACGCUGGCGGCGUGCUUAACACAUGCAAGUCGAACGGAAAGGCCCUGCUUUUGUGGGGUGCUCGAGUGGCGAACGGGUGAGUAACACGUGAGUAACCUGCCCUUAACUUUGGGAUAACUUCAGGAAACUGGGGCUAAUACCGGAUAGGAGCUCCUGCUGCAUGGUGGGGGUUGGAAAUUUUCGGCGGUUGGGGAUGGACUCGCGGCUUAUCAGCUUGUUGGUGGGGUAGUGGCUUACCAAGGCUUUGACGGGUAGCCGGCCUGAGAGGGUGACCGGCCACAUUGGGACUGAGAUACGGCCCAGACUCCUACGGGAGGCAGCAGUGGGGAAUAUUGCACAAUGGGCGGAAGCCUGAUGCAGCAACGCCGCGUGCGGGAUGACGGCCUUCGGGUUGUAAACCGCUUUCGCCUGUGACGAAGCGUGAGUGACGGUAAUGGGUAAAGAAGCACCGGCUAACUACGUG
rnacentral:rRNA from 1 species